AAAUUAAAAAUCUCGAAGAUAUAAUUAUUGCUUCUUUUUUUUUUUUCUUUUUUUUUUAAUAUUCUAUAUACACUAAUAUAUUUCCAUGCAAUUAUCACGAUCGCUUAUUUAUCUUUUAUAUUUAACAAUCUAUUUCCUGUUUCUUGUGUUCCAUUUAUAUUAGCAUUAUGAUACGUGGAUAUUUUUCUUUGAAUGUGUGAGUUUCUGUUCUGUCCUCGCUUAAGAUUGAAAAACUGGUAAACGAAUGAAAACGUGACGUUCACGGCAACACACCGAUUGAAUACAAAUGUUCCAAGCAAGACUAACCUAACAUUGUAUCAAUAUGGCGGCGGAUGGCCAACCUUCUGACUUAAUAUACCGACCUCAAAUUCUCAAUUCUUCGUGUGCAAUAUGACACGAAGUGUAUUUACAAA